UGAUUUCUAAUCCUGAUAAAACAUUCAUUCGAUAAGUUGAAUUACGUUCGUGAAUACAUACAAAUCUAUAGGUUGUUAUUCCUUCAUUCAUCGGCGGAAUAGUGAAGAUCUGUCGUAAAAAUGAAAUUUUGCCUUUUACAAAUUUAUUUAAUUUGCUUGAUAUGCGUGUUAAUUCAUUACAAGCCUACAUAUGAAAGACCCGUCGACGAAGACAUCAGUGCUCUAAGACAAAAAAUGCGCGAAUUAAGAAACAAAGUGAACAAAUUACAAGUCGAAAACAAAGUACUUCGUGGCGAAAAUCCAAAAAAGGGUGUAAAGGCACCUGGAGCUUUUAAUCCUUUUAAAGUUCUCAGUCUAGCCGAACGUCUGGUAUGGGCGAAUGCUUUAACAUUCUUUUAGCGAUACAUCUGUUGGAAAAUCAAGUUGACGAAUUAUUCGUAGAAGAUCAGACCAGGAAGUUUUAAUUUGAUCAACGUUUAAAUUGCUAACGUAGGCUCGUGGUAUUUUCAAAAGGACCAUCCCCGAGGUUAUUAAUGAAAAAUAGGACGAAUAAAAUGCAAAAAAAAUGACGAAUAAAUUCAUCGAUUGUAAUUUUUACACUUUGCGUAGAUACAUUUUUCAAUUUUUAAUAAUUUUUUCAAAAUAAAAAUUGAAUAAAACGAUUUUUUUUUUGAAAACCAUCAACUCACAGCCUUGAGAAUAAAAUCGUGCUACUUACUUGUAUAUUUCCACUCAACGUUUCCACCUCCUAUUAGAUCGCUGAUUUCUAAAAUGUGAUAAAAGAUUCUUUCGAUAAGUUAAAUUAAAUCUACGAAUACCAAUUUAUCUAGGUCGUUUCCUUCAGUCAUUAGUGGAAUUUAAAGUGAUCGAGGUUAGAAAUGAAGUUAAGCUUUUUAAAAAUUCAUUUGAUUUGUUUGAUUUCCGUUUUAAUUUGGUACAAACCUACGUACGGAUUUGCCUAUUAUGGCGACAAUAAUUACGUAAAAAGCGAAGUUGAAGAAUUACAAGAACAGGUGAACGAAUUACGCGAAGAUAAUAGACACCUGCGUUACGGAAAUCCCCAUGUGUUCGGAAAUGAACUACCAAGCGGUGCACGACGAAUCAAACCUUUCGAUAUGUUCAUAAACAUGUUGAAAGGAGAAAUGAAUUAAAAAUUCUUUUAAUCCCGUAUACUGUUGGAAAAUCAUGCCGAUGAAUAUCGAAGAGGAAAUUCAAAUUAGAUCAACGUUAAAAUGUGCAAAUGUAGGAGCUAGGAACAUAUCCCAACCAAUUUUUAGCUUUCAAAUGUGUUGUUCAAGAUUUGCAAAAUCAGCAAUCUCAGCGCAGGUCAACUUGCAGGUGAUCACGAAGAAAACGAUACCUACGAUCAAAAAUGGAAAGUAGAAUUUUUUGGCUGGGAUUUUUGUUUUAUAAGCAUUGCAAUAAAUCUUUUAUGAAAGUUCAA